UAAAUACGAAAAAGAAAAGUAAGUGGGGUGGGCUUUCCUUCCAUCACCUGUAUUACUCCCUGUAAAAGGCCUCAAAAGCAAUCUUUGCUUUUUUUUUCCGUUAGAAAAGAAAAGUGUCUGUGGGGCUCAAGUUUGAGUUGGAACCAGGCUCAGGGUCCACCUGUCCUCGCUGAUCCGUGGAUUUCUGUGUGACCAGCUGACACCUAUGGAGCUGUGGCCCUGACUACUACCAGCUUGCUCAUCCCUCUACUCACACAGUCACCCCUCCCCUCACUCUCAUUUAUGCUUCACCUGUGAAUGGUGGUCCUGGGAAAGCCACUGCUGGAGCCCGGGUGAGCCUGGGGGCUCCUCCCACUCUGUCCCUCCCUGAGACAGCCCUCGCCACAGCUCCCGAGCCGGCCACCACGUCCCUGCAUACUUGAUCAUCAACUGUGCCACCAGAAGCCACCACAGCUUUGGGGCACAACCUGAAGACCCUCACAGUCACCUUCCCCAUCUCCACCCUCCAGUAUUCAUCAGACAGGAGCAAUGGCUCAGCCACGUUCAACUCCACUGAGAGGGUCCUGCAGAGCCUGGGGAGACCCUGGUCCCAGCAGCUCCUGUUGGGUU